CCCGCGAGCGCCCGGGAGCCUGCGCAUCCUCGGGCGACUGCCUUUCCUUCCUUAGCCCACCGAUUCUUUCCAGAUGCCCUGAGAGCCUCCACCUACGGAAGAAGGAUCUGGGGGCGGGGGGAAGUGAGACGUCGUGGGCUCCACCUUCUCCGCCACCGGGCUGGACGGCCAGGCCACACUUUCCAUUCCUGUUCCUUCGUCCCCCCUUCGGCUGCCAAGUCCGCCUCUCCCUUCCCGUCCCCACGCGCCUACAUCUCGCUCUCUCCCUGCAUCGCUUUCCUGCCUCCUAUCCCUGCUUUGUUCCUUUCCUUUUAUAAGUUACAGAUGGACAGACUCAAAUUCCGCUGCUGCUCAGUCUCCUAUUCCUUAAUGUCAGAACAUUAAUAUGGCCUGAGGUGACCUCUGAAAAUGGUUUGCUACUCACUGGACCCAGAAUACCCUACAAAAUUCUGCAAAUCGAGAGGUUCAGAUCUUUGUGUUCACUUUAAGAACACGCUUGAAGCUGCCGUGGCCAUCAAGGGUAUGCAUUUCUGAAAAGCCACCAAGUAUCUGAAAGAUGUCACUUUGCAGAAGCAGUGUGUGCCGUUCCGUUGCUACAAUGGUGGAGUUGGAGUUUACACUUAUGGGUGAAGCAAACAUCUUGUCUUAGCCCAGUGCAACGUAGAAGAAAGUAUUAAUGGCAGUAAAAUAAAAAUGUCUCCAUGUGUUUUUAAGUUGGUUUUGGAUGUCUUUUUAAAAUAUUUCCA